GGUGACGAGCGUCAGCACGCAGGCCCGGCUCGCUGACCAGCAACCCUUCGACGUGACGGGGUGCUCCGGGAACGACCUGACCGCGUGGCUCCCGCCGCGCGGUAAGCACGGCAC
rnacentral:ncRNA from 1 species